rnacentral:rRNA from 1 species
CUACGGGAGGCUCCAGUGAGGAAUAUUGCACAAUGGGGGGAACCCUGAUGCAGCAACGCCGCGUGGAGGAUGACGCAUUUCGGUGUGUAAACUCCUUUUAUAUGUCAAGAAAAUGACGGUAGCAUAUGAAUAAGCUCCGGCUAACUCCGUGCCAGCAGCCGCGGUAAUACGGAGGGUGCAAGCGUUACUCGGAAUCACUGGGCGUAAAGGACGCGUAGGCGGGUUGGAAAGUCAGGUGUGAAAUCCUACGGCUUAACUGUAGAACUGCACUUGAAACUUCUAAUCUAGAGUAUGGGAGGGGGAGAUGGAAUUAGUGGUGUAGGGGUAAAAUCCGUAGAUAUCACUAGGAAUACCUAAAGCGAAGGCGAUCUCCUGGAACAUUACUGACGCUAAGGCGUGAAAGCGUGGGGAGCAAACAGGAUUAGAUACCCGUGUAGUC